GGCCUCGAAGUUCAGCUGGUAGAGCAUGCGCGUACAAAGCGUAGGCGGUUUGCAUGCGUGGGUUCGAAUCCCACCGAGGCUA
rfam:Echinostoma caproni strain Egypt genome assembly, scaffold: ECPE_scaffold0002345